rnacentral:rRNA from 1 species
UGGGGAAUUUUGCGCAAUGGGCGAAAGCCUGACGCAGCGACGCCGCGUGGAGGAUGAAGGUCUUCGGAUUGUAAACUCCUUUUAUAGGGGACAAUGAUGAUGGUACCCUAUGAAUAAGCCACGGCUAACUCUGUGCCAGCAGCCGCGGUAAGACAGAGGUGGCAAGCGUUGUUCGGAAUUACUGGGCUUAAAGGGCGCGUAGGCGUCCCGGCAAGUCGGAUGUGGAAGCUUCCCGCUUAACGGGGAAAUUGCAUCCGAAACUGCCGGGAUUGAGUCAGCAAGGGGAUGGCGGAAUUCCAGGUGUAGCGGUGAAAUGCGUAGAUAUCUGGAGGAAGGCCGGUGGCGAAGGCGGCCAUCUGGUGCUGAACUGACGCUGAGGCGCGAAAGCGUGGGGAGCAAA